ACGCUCGACACCUACGGUAGGCAGCAGUGGGGAAUAUUGCACAAUGGGGGAAACCCUGAUGCAGCAACGCCGCGUGAAGGAAGACGGUUUUCGGAUUGUAAACUUCUGUUCUUAGUGAAGAUAGUGACGGUAGCUAAGGAGCAAGCCACGGCUAACUACGUGCAAGCAGCCGCGGUAAUCUGAGCGGGCUGGCAAGGC
rnacentral:rRNA from 1 species